rnacentral:rRNA from 1 species
GACGAACGCUGGCGGCGUGCUUAACACAUGCAAGUCGAACGGACAGGCCCUGCUCUUGUGUGGUGCUCGUGUGGCGCACGCGUGAGUAACACGUGAGUAACCUGCCCCUGUCUUUGUGAUAACUUCAGGAAACAGCGGCUCAUACCGCAUAGGAUCUCCUGCUGCAUGUUGUGGGUUGGAGAGUUUCGGCGGUUGUGGCUGGACUCGCUGCUUAUCCGCUUGUUUGUGAGGUAGGUGCUUUCCAAGGCUUUGACGGGUAGGCGGCCUGAGAGGGUGACCGGGGACAUUGCGACUGAGAGACGGACCAGACUCCUACGGGAGGCAGCAGGGGAGAGUAUGGCACAAUGGGCGGAAGUCUGAUACAGCAACGCCGCGUGCGGGAUGACGGGCUUCGGGGUGUAAACCGCUGUCGCCUGAAACGAAGCGAGAGUGACGGUAAUGGGUAAAAAAGCACCGGCUAACUACGUG